UACAGAGGUCCCAAGCGUUGUUCGGAUUCACUGGGCGUAAAGGGUGCGUAGGUGGUUAGGUAAGUCCGAUGUGAAAUCUCCAGGCUCAACCUGGAAAUGGCAUUGGAUACUAUCUAGCUCGAGUCCGGGAGAGGUGAGUGGAACUGCGAGUGUAGAGGUGAAAAUUCGUAGAUAUUCGCAAGAACACCAGUGGCGAAGGCGGCUCACUGGCCCGGUACUGACGCUGAGGUGCGAAAGCGGUGGGGAGCAAACAGGG
rnacentral:rRNA from 1 species